GCUUAUUCGCUAGUGCCCAUUUCC
rnacentral:siRNA from 1 species